rnacentral:misc_RNA from 1 species
GAUGAAGAACGCAGCGAAUUGCGAUAUGUAAUGUGAAUUGCAGAUUUUCAGUGAAUCAUCGAAUCUUUGAACGCACCUUGCGCUCCUUGGUAUUCCGAGGAGCAUGCCUGUUCGAGUGUCAUUAUCCUCCCUCAAACCCCGGGUUUGGUGUUGGACCCAAGUUGUGUGAACAACUGGUCUCAAAGACAAUGACGGCGUCCGUGGGACCCUCGGUGCAACGAGCUUUUAGGAGCACGCAUCGAGUUGCAAGGACCUUCCGGGCCGGUCUCCUUUACCAUUUUACAAGGUUGACCUCGGAUCAGGUAGGAAUACCCGCUGAACUUAAGCAUAUCAAUAAGCGGAGGA